rnacentral:rRNA from 1 species
CCCUUAGAUGUUCUGGGCCGCACGCGCGCUACACUGAUGCAUUCAACGAGUUUCUUCCUGGUCCGAGAGGAAUGGGUAACCUUUUGAAAGUGCAUCGUGAUAGGGAUAGACUAUUGCAAUUAUUGGUCUUCAACGAGGAAUUCCUAGUAGACGUAGUUCAUCAGACUGCAUCGAUACGUCCCUGCCCUUUGUACACACCGCCCGUCGCUCCUACCGAUUGAAUGCUCAGGUGAGCCAUUCGGACUUUCAUCAUGCUGGUUUCCAGUUUUGAUGAAGGAAAGUCUUGCGAACCUUAUCAUUUAGAGGAAGGAGAAGUCGUAACA